CCUACGGGUGGCUGCAGUCGAGAAUCUUCGGCAAUGGGCGCAAGCCUGACCGAGCGACGCCGCGUGCGGGAUGAAGGCCUUCGGGUUGUAAACCGCUGUCAGAGGGGCGGAAAUGCAUUGGGGUUCUCCCCAGUGCUUGACUUAACCUCAGAGGAAGCAUGGGCUAAGUUCGUGCCAGCAGCCGCGGUAAGACGAACCAUGCAAACGUUAUUCGGAAUUACUGGGCUUAAAGCGUGCGUAGGCGGCUCAGAAAGUUGGGUGUGAAAUGCCUCGGCUCAACCGAGGAAUUGCGCCCAAAACUACUGGGCUUGAGGGAGUUAGAGGUGAGCGGAACUCACGGUGGAGCGGUGAAAUGCGUUGAUAUCGUGAGGAACACCGGAGGCGAAAGCGGCUCACUGGGGCUUCACUGACGCUGAGGCACGAAAGCUAGGGGAGCAAAC
rnacentral:rRNA from 1 species